AGCCCAGACUCCUACGGGAGGCAGCAGUGGGGGAUAUUGCACAAUGGGGGGAACCCUGAUGCAGCGACGCCGCGUGAACGAAGAAGUAUUUCGGUAUGUAAAGUUCUAUCAGCAGGGAAGAAAAUGACAGUACCUGACCAAGAAGCCCCGGCUAACUACGUGCCAGCAGCCGCGGUAAUACGUAGGGGGCGAGCGUUAUCCGGAUUCACUGGGCGUAUAGGGAGCGCAGGCGGCACGGCAAGUCCGGUGUGAAAGCCCGGGGCCCAACCCCGGGACUGCACUGGAAACUGCCGGGCUGGAGUGUCGGAGGGGCAGGCGGAAUUCCUAGUGUAGCGGUGAAAUGCGUAGAUAUUAGGAGGAACACCGGCGGCGAAGGCGGCCUGCUGGACCGCGACUGACGUUGAGGCUCGAAAGCGUGGGGAGCGAACAGGAUUAGAUACCCGCGUA
rnacentral:rRNA from 1 species